UGGUGUAAUCAAAUGGGCGAAAGGAAUAGAGUCCUCGUCUUUUCAUCUCAUGACAACAUUCUCCAAGCUACCACUCCUUUACUACUCCAGAUGACCGUCGCACCAACAUGUCUUCUCCUAUCGAUGAUCACUUCACCACCAUCUCCCCUUGUCCCAACGACCACCGGAGCACCACCUUCUCCCUCUUUUUGACCAAACAGAAACCACCAACACUUUCUCCCUAAUAGAACGGCUUACAUUUUUUGAAUUUCAGGCCAGGAAGUCAGGAUGUAUGAUAAAUUAUUGGAAUAUAAUCGAAUAUGUAGCUAGAAAAGGAUCUUAUGUGACACAUUCAAAUCAGAUGUAUGGUAGAUCGGAUCAAAGAUAGGGAUCAAACGAUGAACGGAGUCAAACCUAGCAGUGCUACGAAGAAAGCCGAUACCAAGUGGUGAGGCUUGGUUUUCUUUUCACUGUCAAGGAAUAUGCGUAGGAAUUUUGAAGGUGGUAGGUGUAUCACCUAAUAUAUGAGAAUGGAAAAUGCACCAACUGUCGGUAACAUGCUCUCAUAUAGAACAUUAGGUUUGUGUGGGAAUGCAAUCAAGAAUGGGCCCGAAUGCAAUCAAGAAUGGCUGCUGGAAUGGAAUAUGGGUUUAGUAUCUUGACAUCUAGUCCGGUUGUAUGAGUGAUCUAGUACGGUUGUAUGUUGAAAUUGUAUGGUGUAUUAGAUGGUUGUCUGCUUGAAAGGAUCCAUAUAGAGUACCGUUAAAUAGCCGUAUUCUAUUAGGCAAUGUAAUCUAAUACACCACACUACUAAUACGUUCCAACCUUUAUACUAUAUUUAUAGAUUUAGUGAUAUUAGAUUACACUUUUUCUAGUAGUGGAAGUUCAUGUAUUACAGAAGAGUGAAGUUUUCAAUAAGGCCUUUUAAUUACAUAAAAUGGUGUAGAUAUUGAAGUAGGUUGUCGGUUAUUAAAUACAUUUAGUAUGUACUUCAUAGUUUGUGCUAAUAUGCUCAAUAAUGUGUAUGUUAGUAAGACAAAUUUAUUUAGACAUUCAUGUAUGUAUCCCUACCUGUGAAUAUAUGAUUGGUUUAGUAUACACAUUUAAUUUUUGUAUGUAUAUAUAGAAGGUUAUAUUUUUUAAGAUCAGGUUACACUUGAUAC